rnacentral:rRNA from 1 species
UACGUAGGGUGCGAGCGUUGUCCGGAAUUACUGGGCGUAAAGAGCUCGUAGGUGGUUUGUCGCGUUGUCCGUGAAAACUCACAACUCAAUUGUGGGCGUGCGGGCGAUACGGGCAGACUGGAGUACUGCAGGGAGACUGGAAUUCCUGGUGUAGCGGUGAAAUGCGCAGAUAUCAGGAGGAACACCGAUGGCGAAGGCAGGUCUCUGGGCAUUAACUGACGCUGAGGAGCGAAAGCAUGGGGAGCGAACAGG